UAAUACGGAGGUGGCAAGCGUUGUUCGGAUUUACUGGGUGUAAAGGACAUGUAGGUGUCUUAUUAAGUCGGAUGUGAAAUCCCUUGGCUCAACCAAGGAACUGCGCCCGAUACUGAUAAGAUUGAGUACGGGAGGGGUAAGCGGAAUUCCGGAAGUAAGGGUGAAAUCUGCAGAUAUCCGGAGGAACACCAUUAGCGAAGGCGGCUUACUGGCCCGAUACUGACACUGAAAUGUGAAAGCUAGGGGAGCGAACAGGAUUAGAUACCCUGGUAGUCCUAGCUGUAAACGAUGGGCACUAGAUGCUGGUCUUAACCGGGCAGUGUCGUAGCUAACGCGUUAAGUGCCCCACCUGGGGACUACGGUCGCAAGGCUA
rnacentral:rRNA from 1 species